ACAUCGCCUCUUGCUAAAUAUAAGAGGUCCCGCCUGCCCCGUGAUUUAAUUAACGGCCGCGGUAUCUUGACCGUGCAAAGGUAGCAUAAUCAAUUGUUCUUUAAAUAAGGACUAGUAUGAACGGCAUUACGAGGGUUUAACUGUCUCCCUAUUUUAAUUAAUGAAAUUGAUCUUCCCGUGAAGAAGCGGGAAUAUAACUAUAAGACGAAAAGACCCCAUGGAGCUUUAAACUUAUUUUCAAUUACCAAAACCCAAAACAUAUACCUGGUAAAAAUGACAAUCGUUUUGGGGCGACCCUGGAGAAAAAUAAAUCCUCCAAGCUGAAUAGAUUCAAAAUCUAAUGUUAGAGUAAACUCACACAAUCAAAAUUUUGACAAAAUGACCCAGAAUUUAUCUGAUCAACGAACCAAGUUACCCUGGGGAUAACAGCGCAAUCCAUUUCAAGAGCCCUUAUCGACAAAUGGGUUUACGACCUCGAUGUUGGAUCGGGAUAUCCUAGCAGCGCAGCCGUUGCUAAGUUCGUUGCAA
rnacentral:rRNA from 1 species